CCUACGGGAGGCAGCAGUAGGGAAUAUUGCACAAUGGGGGAAACCCUGAUGCAGCAACGCCGCGUGAGUGAAGAAGUAUUUCGGUAUGUAAAGCUCUAUCAGCAGGGAAGAGAAUGACGGUACCUGACUAAUAAGCACCGGCUAACUACGUGCCAGCAGCCGCGGUAAUACGUAGGGGGCGAGCGUUAUCCGGAUUUACUGGGUGUAAAGGGAGCGUAGACGGUUUUGCAAGUCUGAAGUGAAAGCCCGUGGCUUAACCGCGGAACGGCGUUUGAAACUGUGGAACUGGAGUGCUGGAGAGGUAAGUGGAAUUCUUAGUGUAGCGGUGAAAUGCGUAGAGAUUAGGAGGAACACUAGUGGCGAAGGCGGCCUGCUGGACAGUAACUGACGUUGAAGCUCGAAAGCGUGGGGAGCAAACAGGAUUAGAUACCCUAGUAGUC
rnacentral:rRNA from 1 species